rnacentral:rRNA from 1 species
CUCGUAGGUGGCUUUGUAAGUCGGAGGUGAAAUCCCACGGCUCAACCGUGGACACGCCUUCGAAACUGUGAAGCUUGAGGCUGGGAGAGGAAAUCGGAAUUCCUGGUGUAGCGGUGAAAUGCGUAGAUAUCAGGAGGAACACCGGUGGCGAAGGCGGAUUUCUGGACCAGUUCUGACACUGAUGAGCGAAAGCCAGGGGAGCAAACAGGAUUAGAUACCCUGGUAGUCCUGGCUGUAAACGAUGGGCACUAGGUGUGGGAGGAUCGACCCCUUCCGUGCCGCAGUUAACGCAUUAAGUGCCCCGCCUGGGGAGUACGACCGCAAGGUUGAA